rnacentral:lncRNA from 1 species
CCACAUUCCAAAUAUAUUCAUCAUUGCCAACAAUGUUAUCCAAUUCACACAAGCAUGCGAAAUAAAAUAAUGCAAAAUUAUUUAUUUAUUUUUAUUUUUUUCACACAAAGUAAAUUAACACGCGCAACAUACUUGGAACGCAACACAAUAAAAGUAGGAAAAUGCUCAACACAACUAACAACUAAGUGAAAGUAAGACCCUCCCAAACUUAAACAACACAUUACCCUCAAUGUGAAAUUGAAAGAAAGGGAAGAGUAAUACCUUGGGGAAAACAUCAAUUGUCUUCAUCGCCAUCAGGUGGAGCGGGAGGGUGUGAAUGAGGUGGAGGGAAGGUAAGCUCGGGGUAUGCAGAUGCCAUGAUCGCCAUGCAAGCGUUUUGAUAAUGAAACUGGUCAAAGAUGGCAGAUGCCAUGAUUGCCAUCCUGCCAUCGGGUCAUGCACAAAUCCAUGGCUUAAAGACGUCGAAAGAUGUUCCCCGUAGCAUCAGAAGGUUGUGGAGGCGGUGGUGUAGGAGGUAAUGGACGAGAUGACUGAGAAGAGCCAGGGACGUCCCGAUGUCCCACAUGCCUAUCACAGAGUUCCCGUGUAAGUAAUUGUUUCGGGUGUAACACUUCAUCAGUUUCUCGCACGUGAACCCUGUGUAUGCAAAGGUCAUGGAUCAAAGAGGGGUGACCCAAACUGUUUGUAGCUGGCCCGGCUAGCAGCAUUGAAUGACUCUGCCAACAUCAAUAGAAUACCCCUUCUGAAUAACAAAAUUCAAUAAGGCCCGUUCCUUGGUGACCUCGCUGGUGUUGCUACUGGGGAUCAAUUUGGAUGAUGUGAAGUGGUGCCAAAUUUUACAGUUAGGUAUCAGACCAAAGGAAGGGAAGUGAGUUACAUCACUAGCUGAUCUUUUCCAUUCAGCACCAAGGCGAGCUAUAGUGCGAAUUAUCUCAUCAAGAUCGACCCCCUCAUCGCGUAGUCGGGAAUAGUCAUCAUUGGGUAUAUCCUGCGUGUGGUAGAACCUGUUAAUUGAAAAACUGCCAAACUUGAUCCAAAAAGCCCAGACAAAAACUUUGAAGUUCUCGUGUUCAUUGGCAUUGACAUAAAAUUCUUUCACCAAAGGAAUGGAUACAGCUGUAGGUUGUUCGGUAAACUUCUCCCAUCCUAAACUGUGUAUUUUAUCUGGCAAAAAAUUUUCAAGGCCCCUCUCAGGAAUGCAAUUUCGAUGUAUCACAUUUUGUUUAUAGCGUUCCUUUGCUUCGGGACUAAUGAAUCGUCUUCGAUCAAACACUGUAGUAGAUGAAGAGGCAGUGGCCUUGAAUUUCUUUUUAGGAGGCAUGGUGUAAGUGUUCUUCCCAAUAUCAUGAAAAGUUAACCGGCCACCUAAACCAAUUCAAUGAAUUUGUCUUAGUAAAUGAAGUAUGUCUAAAGUUGGCACGAAAAUCUUAAUGAAACAAUAUUCGAACAUGUGGUAGGCGGCUAGAAUAAUCAAGUACAAAGCCUAAUACAAACCAUCAAAAAUAUCCCAAGAAUAGCACAAAAAAAAAUCUUUGGGGAAAU